CCUAGAACAGUUCUGGCACAAUUGGGACAUCCAAUAAACCUUAGGAAAUACAUAUUUUACAGAGCAUGCUCUGUAGAGAUUUCUCAUCUGAUCUGAGACAUUGUCCAUAAAAGGUUAAAAUUAAGAGCAAUUUCAUUGAUAGAGGAUUAACUUGAGAUAAAGUUACAAUAUGUUCUAACACUAUGUUUUGUGAGUUUAAUAAUAGAGUGAUUGUAUCACCGUGUGUGUAAUUUAUUUUGUCAUUUGUGGUAUUUCUACCGAGGGCUCACUGCGAGAACAAGGCCGUGCGCUUCGAAAUGAUUCUGUUUUUUCUAAUAUGAUUCCACCGGCUUUAUUUUCAUUUUGUGUAAGCGCACCUAACAAAAUCCCUUGAUUGAAGCCACUCCACUAAUCACUUGUAAUGUAUCUGAUAUAGUAUUUAUUAUGUAUAAUAUAUAUUGGACAGCAAAUGUUUUCC